GGAGUGUGUUUUAAAUGAAAUAGUACAGAGAGAUAUAAGGCACUGCUUUUUGACAAUUAGCAAGCCAAAGUGAUAAGUGAGACAGUGAAUCCACGAGUCAUGUUCACUUCUCCUUCCCUCCUCCCCAUCACACGUGUGACCUGGCCCUCCCAACGCGCAUCUUAUCGUUCUCUCCAGGCUCUCCCCCUUCCCUACUCCCACUGCCCUCCUUCAGUUUCGCAUCAUCUCCUGUCCAGGCUGUUGCACCACCAAGUAGCCAUUGAAAAUCUACCCUGGGUAUCCCCCUAUGCCAGGUGCUCAGAGAGAGUCUAAAAAGACACACAUGGGGCCUGCUUUUGUGGAGCUUGUGUUUUUGCAGGGAAAACAGAGAGUGAACAACCAAUUACACAACUCAUUAUUAAUUAAAAUGUUGAUGAAUGCAAUGAAGGCUAAGUGUAGGAUGCUGAGGAGCACACGGAAGGGGCCUAAGGAAGGCUUCCUUGAGAAACUAACAUGUGAGUUGAGGUUUGAAGGAUGGAGAAGAAUCAGCCUGGCAUAGAGGGAAACUCCAGACACAGGGAAGAGCAUUCCAGAUGGCCCUAGGCAUGAAGGACAGCGAAGAAGCUAAGAAUGCCCAUGGCACUGGAGCAAAGAGAGAGGAGAGAGACAGAGCUAGAACGCAGGGAACUUGAAAGCUGGAAAAGGCUUUUGGUCUCUUCUUGGAUAAUAUGCACUCAUCCCUUGGAGAUCAGUUCACAUGUCUUCUCCUCCAGGAAGCUUUCCUUGAUGCUCUGUCUCCAUCCCCUCCUCCCCUUACAGGUCUGUUUGGUACCCCUGGUUGUCAUUGCACACAUGAUAAUGCAAUGAUUGGCUAUAUGUCUCUACGGUGCAUUUGAUGGUGAGCUUCUUGAGAUUGGGAACCACAUGUUAGCCAUCUCUGUGGUAAAGCUGUUGGGGACUGCUAAAAAUCUAGUUUAUGAAUUGACUGGAUGAAACGCUACAUGGUAAACCAAUGAACACAUCUCACAUGCUGAAGUAUUUUUAAGAAGGCUGUCUGGGAAAUCAUGCCACUAUCUUCAGGAGGGGUCAAGAGUGACUUGAAGUGUGGGCAUCUCUUUAAAUCUGCACUCCUUGGCUGGGCACUGGGGACGUGUGCUGUAAGCUAUAAAGAAACAAAGCCCCCCGGGAAAUCGUGCUGGUCAUCCCUUCGAGUGGAGCCCAGAGGCGGGAAAACAUCUGAGCCAAACUUUCUCUUGACUCUGCUCAGAACUCACUGUGGGGUUCUGGGCAUUUCAUUUCCUCACAUGGGCAAUGUUGUGGGCCAUCUUGAUUCCUGGCCCUCCACCCCAAAGAGUAGCCCCCUGCGGUCGCUAAGUAAACUGCGGAAAGCACACAGUGCAGUCAAUCCAGGCUGCGCUGGCAUCUCCUGGGGAGCCUGAAACCAUGCAUGCCGAUGCCUGAGCUCUAGCCCAAGAGUUCUGGUUAACCGGCCUGGGGAGGGGCCUGGACAUCUGUAUUUUGUAAAAGCCAUCCAGGUGAAUCUUAUAGAGCUAAGGGACCCGAGGUUGAGGAGCACUAUGCCAGAGUAGUAAGAUGAACACCAGCUCAGCAGCAGCAGCGCAGCCGCCACCACAGCAACCCCGAGAGCACCCGAAACAGUAACAGAGGAGCCAGCCUUGGCUGGGAGAGUGCCAGGAAAGGAAGAUGCUCGCUUGGAUCCAGGCUCCACCUGGCACUGGCUGGGACCACAGACUCACUCUUCAGUCAAUCAGCAGGCUAGCACACAUUUGUUCAGUGCAUGCUGUGUGCUGCACGGGGCAGCGGACAGGGCAUGCGGAGUAACAGGCCCCAGCCUCCCCUGGACACGCAGAGUCAACAUGACAGAGGUGUGAACCGGAUACAGAGGGCACACAUUCCACCUGGGGUGUGACAGGAAAGACGAAAUAUUAUCGGGGAAGGAGCGGUGGAGGUUGUAGUGGCUGGAUAUCAUUUCAGAAGAACCUGUCAUUUUUCCAGGAGAAGAGACUGUAAGAGGAAAGUCCUGGAGGGAGCUGGGCAAGUUACAUUGUAUUUGAUUCCUGACUACUGUCUCUAAACCGAGGAUUCAAAUUGUUAGACUCAAUUCAUGACCUUGUUGGAAAUUUCCAGCCAACCCACUGCUCAAUCACCUUAACUAGGAGAAAAUAUUUUAUGAUAUAGUGGAAACAAAUGAUAACAGUGUUGAGAGGGACAAGCUUAACACAGAAUCCAGACUUCACACGUUCACGUGGGGGAGAUAGAAGUCGCGGAGUAGGCUGAUUUCUGAUGACAACCUGAUUUAAUUUGCAAUAUGACUGCAUCAGUGGCUGCUCAAAAAGCUGUUUCCAACAUUUUGCAUCAAUAUAGCAGCUCUGGGAUCCUGAAGAAAUUUGUAUUUGCUGUCUAAGACCGGAAGGGUGGAGGAAUACAGGCCAGCAAGCCCUCGGAUCGACCCCGUACCCACGCCGACGGAGGAGAAGUGGACACGUGCUCAGUUAGAGAAGAGAACGGCACCUGCAGUCACCUGGGGCCAGAGGAUGUGGCAGACGCAUUUCAGCAGGUGACAUCUCUCUGGACACGUUCUCAGAAACCCUGCACCAGGAAUUGAGUUGUCUUGGAUUCCGACGUGCCUGGUCUGACUCAUGGAAAAUAAUCUAUAAAUUCUACCUUGCUACUGAGCAUCGGAAGUUUGAUUCUAUGUGUCAAUUUCUCUACCAGUUACUGAACAGCUGCUACCUUGAGAGGGACUGACCGACAUCGAGGACCGGGACUCCAGAACCCUGCUUUUGACCGGGAGACCUCCCAACUGGGAGCUCAAAUAAAUACGAGUGUGUUCGUUCUCAAUACUGGAACCCGUGAGCCAAGCUGCAUUUUACGUCUGCAUCCUCUACCCCCUGUUACAGGAGCCUGUUGCCUUUAACGAACCUGAGUCAGUCUAGCGAGGAGAACUGCUCGCCAGGGCUAAUUAUCAUCGCGGCGAUGUGAGUAAAUGAAGGAAAGUGAGUCAUGCACUAGGGCGGUUUUAUGACGGCUGUGAGGGAAGGCAAAUCAAAUGUACGCAUCUAAACUGCAGGGACCUGCGAGCGGCUGAAUCAUACGUCCGAGUGAAUAUGAGUUUUAUGGCGUGC
ensembl:lncRNA